rfam:Parabacteroides merdae CAG:48 genomic scaffold, scf167
AUUGAUGUGGAUAGAUUUGUAUUGCUUGCAACCACAGGAAAAAAUGCUAAAAACAAGCCC